UUGCAGGAGGAUGGGGGUAUUGAUGAAGAUGUGAACCAUCGAAUCAAAGCCGGAUGGAUGAAGUGGCGCCAAGCUUCUGGCAUUCUCUGUGACAAGAGAGUGCCACAAAAGCUAAAAGGCAAGUUCUACAGGACGGCGGUUCGACCCGCAAUGUUGUAUGGCGCGGAGUGUUGGCCGACUAAAAGGCGACAUGUUCAACAGUUAGGUGUGGCGGAGAUGCGUAUGUUGAGAUGGAUGUGUGGCCACACGAGGAAGGAUCGAGUCCGGAAUGAUGAUAUACGAGAUAGAGUUGGGGUACCACCAAUUGAGGAGAAGCUUGUCCAACAUCGUUUGAGAUGGUUUGGGCAUAUUCAGCGCAGGCCUCCAGAAGCUUCAGUGCAUAGAGGACGGCUAAAGCGUGCGGAGAAUGUCAAC
rnacentral:rRNA from 1 species